CAGGCAACUUCUUAAUUGUUUCUAUAGAUUAGUUGAAUUUUGUAAUAAGGGUAAACAAUACAAAUUUUAUACUUUUAGCAUUCCUCUCAAGCAAAGUUAAUUUAUCGGGCUUGCAAUUAGAUGCUGUGCAUAAAUAAUAGGGACUUGCUAAAUAUUUAGAGAUUUGAAUUCUCGUUUUAGAGGUGUUUAGCCUUAGCCCCAGUGCUAAAUAUUUUAUGCUUCAAUGCGUAAAUUAGCACAUACAAGAAUGGGGUAUUUAACUGAUUCUGCAUAGGAAUUUAGAUAUUUGAUUAUGAGAGUCUAGAAUAUGUAGAAAUUAAUUGAAUAUAAUUAUCAUGUAUUUAUUUUGUUCAUUGCAGCAAAACAUGAA
rnacentral:misc_RNA from 1 species